UACGGAGGGUGCGAGCGUUGUCCGGAAUCAUUGGGCGUAAAGGGCGCGUAGGUGGUUUGAUAAGGGUGUGGUGAAAGUCCGGGGCUCAACCCCGGAUCUGCCGUGCCGACUGUCAAACUCGAGGGCUGUAGAGGCAGACGGAAUUCCGGGUGUAGCGGUGGAAUGCGUAGAGAUCCGGAGGAAGACCGGUGGCGAAGGCGGGAUCCUGGGCCAGUACUGACGCUGAGGAGCGAAAGCGUGGGGAGCAAACAGG
rnacentral:rRNA from 1 species